GAAAGUAAGCAAGGGCAGACGGUGGAUGCCUUGGCUCUCGGAGGCGACGAAGGACGUGAUAAGCUGCGAAAAGCUCGGGGGAGGCGCAAAUAGCCGUUGAUCCCGGGAUAUCCGAAUGGGGCAACCCGGCAGGCUGAAGGCCUGUCAUCCCGAAAGGGAGGCGAACGUGGGGAACUGAAACAUCUAAGUACCCAUAGGAGGAGAAAAUAAACAAUGAUUCCGUAAGUAGUGGCGAGCGAACACGGAAGAGCCCAAACCCGUGUCGUCUAGGCGAUACGGGGGUUGUAGGACCACGACGUGGCAAGAUAGAGUCAAGUGGAACGCCUUGGAAAGGGCGACCGUAGAGGGUGAUAGUCCCGUACACGACUGACGAUUGAAGCCUAGUGGUAUCCUGAGUAGCGCGGGGCACGAGAAAUCUUGCGUGAAACAGCGGGGCCCAUCCCGUAAGGCUAAAUACUCCCGAGAGACCGAUAGCGAACCAGUACCGUGAGGGAAAGGUGAAAAGAACCCCGAGCAGGGGAGUGAAAUAGACCCUGAACCCGUCUGCCUACAAGCGGUCGGAGCGUCGUAAUGACGUGACGGCGUGCCUUUUGCAUAAUGAACCUACGAGUUACCUUCCCCGGCAAGGUUAAGUUCUUGAGGAACGGAGCCGAAGCGAAAGCGAGUCUGAACAGGGCGCCAAGUCGGGGGGGGUAGACGCGAAACCGAGUGAUCUACCCUUGGCCAGGUUGAAGGUUGGGUAACACCAACUGGAGGACCGGAUGGGUAAGCGUUGAAAAGCUUUCCAAUGAGCUGAGGGUAGGGGUGAAAGGCUAAUCAAACUCGGAGAUAGCUCGUACUCCCCGAAAUGCAUUUAGGUGCAGCCUCUUUAUAGUAUAUCGUGAGGUAGAGCGACUGAUUGGAUGCGAGGGCUUCACCGCCUAUCAAGUCCAGAUAAACUCCGAAUGCGCGAUAUAUAUUUACAGGGAGUGAGGGCGCGGGUGCUAAGGUCCGUGUCCGAGAGGAGAAGAAUCCAGACCACCGGCUAAGGCCCCCAAAUGAUCGUUAAGUUGAACUAACGAGGUCGGAUCGCAGAGACAGCUAGGAUGUUGGCUUGGAAGCAGCCAUUCAUUUAAAGAGUGCGUAACAGCUCACUAGUCGAGCGAUCUGGCGUGGAUAAUAAUCGGGCAUAAACGAUCUGCCGAAGCCGUGGAUGUCGCAAGACAUGGUAGGGGAGCAUUCCAUGCCGCGUCGAAGAUGAGGGAUGACCCUUGUUGGAGCGCAUGGAAAAGCAAAUGUAGGUAUGAGUAACGAUAAGGGGGGCGAGAAACCCCCCCGCCGAAAGACCAAGGUUUCCUGAUCAACGCUAAUCGGAUCAGGGUGAGUCGGGACCUAAGGCAAAGCCGAACGGCGCCGCCGAUGGAAGAAUGGGUUAAUAUUCCCAUACUGCCUCAUGGAGUGACGUGGAGACGGAGAAGUGACAGUCCUGCCGGCUGACGGAAUAGCCGGUUGAAGGGUGUAGAUAUUGAUUCCCGUAGGCAAAUCCGCGGGGAGAGUCGAACCUGAGAGUAUACGGAGCGCUUGCGCAACGUAAUAUGGACGUAACCAUGCUCCCGAGAAAAUCCGCUAAACUUAUCCAUGCGGCACCCGUACCGUAAACGGACACACGUGGUCGGGUUGAGAAUACUGAGGCGCUCGAGUGAUUCACGGUUAAGGAACUAGGCAAAUUGACCCUGUAACUUCGGGAUAAAGGGUCCUCGUCGUAAGGCGAGGCGCAGAGAAUAGGUCCAGGCAACUGUUUAACAAAAACACAUGGCUGUGCGAAAUGGAAACAUGAGGUAUACAGCCUGACACCUGCCCGGUGCCGGAAGGUUAAGAGGAGAUGUCAUCCGCGAGGAGAAGCGUUGAAUUGAAGCCCCGGUAAACGGCGGCCGUAACUAUAACGGUCCUAAGGUAGCGAAAUUCCUUGUCGGGU
rnacentral:rRNA from 1 species